AAAAUGGCGUCCGAAGUAAACGUUUUGAAGAAGAAGAAAUACAGUAAAAAAUCUAAACGCAACUGGCGAAAACAAACAGAUAUCAAGGAUGUAGAAGAGUUUCUAGAGGAAGUUAGACGAGAUGAACGAACUGGGGGUCCAGCAGCGGAUAAAGCUGAUGGAAGCCUUUUCUUUGUGGAUACAAUAAAACUCAAAACGCCAGAUGAAGAUAAGUCAGUAACCAAGAGAUCUAGAAAGAGAAAGCUUCUCAAGCAAGAUGAACUUCUUCUUCCCGAUACUAGAAUAAAACCAGUUGGUAGCAAAAAACCCAAAGUCAACAAAAAGAAAACUAAAAAAGGAAAAGAUUUUGACAGCGAAUCAUCAGACGAAGAGAUACCAGCAGACAAGAAUAGAAAUCAAGUGAAGUCAAAAGAAAAGAAAGAACAGAAAGAAAGUAGGGGCUAUUUCGACCUGUGGUCUACAGAAGACAAGCUUCAAGGUGACGAACAUUACUUGAAGAUCACAAGGAAAACAAAAAUAAAGGCUCCCAAAACAGUCAAAAGAAAAGUGACAGAAUUGCCUGCUGUAGAAGUAGCUGCACCAGGAGCAUCGUAUAACCCAACAUUUGAAGAACACCAGGAACUUCUGCAAAAAGCACAUGAAGUUGAAGUAAAAAAGAAUAAGAGAAUAGAAAAACUCAACAGACAGCUCCAAUGGCUCAGUAAGGAGGAAGCCUCUGAUUUGCCAACCUGGGAAGAAGAGAUGGGUCAAGGUCUGUUUGAUGAGAUAAAGAAUGACGAUGAUAAAGCACAUGAUGAUGAUGAUGAUAAUGAUGAUGAUGGUGUCAUAACAAUUAAAUCAGCUCAAAGAAAAACAAGACAACAAAGAAGAAAAGAAAAGGAAGAAAUGAAACAGCAAUUGGAACAAGAAGCUGAAAAGAAGUUAAAACUCAAAGAGAAUGAGGUUUUCAGAAUUAAAUCACUGAAAAAGGAAAUUGAAGCGAAGGAAAAGGAAAUCAAGCAAAAGUUACAAAAGAAAGAAGAACUAAAGGAGGGAGAGCUAAAGAAACCCAAACGACUUGGACGUCAUGGAUUCGAAGAAGCAGCCGUAGAAAUCCAGCUAAGUGACGAAAUCACAGGCAACCUGCGGUCCAUAAAACCAGAGGGAAAUCUAUUUGCAGACAGAUUCAAAAGCCUACAGAAAAGAAAUUUGAUUGAGCCCCGUAAACCAGUUCUACCUCAUCGUAAGUAUGCUAAGAAGGAAUACGUGAAGAAAUCCUACGAUAAGCCGUGUGUCAAGGAAAUCGCUGCAGAAGGAAAGUGACCCCCUACGACAAGAUCACGACGAGACUCAAGGAAAUAUGAUCAGCUUCCACUCUCAAUCCCACCUUAAUUUCUUGAUAACAGGUUUCAAAGUCCUGUUGCGACGAUGAAAACCACGCUGCACGUUCCUACAAUCUGCUUAGCUAAUAAAUUAUUGAUGAUUUGAAUUCUAGUUAAUGAAAAUAGCAUAUAAAUGUGGCUAUCCUAACGAGCCUAAUACAUCUAAUCUUGUAGAACAAAACUUUGACAUGAAAUAAAAGAUACUUGAGCGUUA
rnacentral:misc_RNA from 1 species